CCCGUGCCAGCGCCGAGCCGCUGCCGCUCCAUCGGGCCAUUUUGGCCCCUUGCCGGUUUUCCUUGGGCCAAAACUUAGGUUUGGAGUGACGGAGAGUCGUCAUGUGCGGUAAACAGACCAGGAGUGACUUCGGGCAUUUGAUGCUUCUUUCCAUCUUGUGGAUGCCCCUUUUUUGUAUAGUGAAGUAGGCUACCCAACCACUGCCCCUUUUUGUUGAAUGUGGUUAUGUUGUUUGGGGCCUAGCUUGUGGUUAUCUUUUUAUGAAUGCUGUUUGUAUCUGCCAAGUAUAUUUAUAAAAUGCAUUUAUUGAUUUGUACAAA